rnacentral:tRNA from 1 species
GCGGGAGUAGCUCAGCUGGCAGAGCGUCUGCUUCCCAAGCAGAAGGUCGAGGGUUCGAGACCCUUCUCCCGCUCCA